UCCGGUUUGGCACCGGCAGUCUCCCAUGAGUCCCCGGCAUGAUCCGCUGGCAACAUGGGACAGGGGUUGCGCUCGUUGCGCCACUUAAGGCAACACCUCACGGCACGAGCUGACGACGGCCAUGCAGCACCUGUGCGGGCUCCCGAAGGAGGACCGUAUUUCUACGGCUUCACCCCGCAUGUCAAGCCCUGGUAAGGUUCUUCGCGUCGCGUCGAAUUAAGCCACAUGCUCCGCCGCUUGUGCGGGCCCCCGUCAAUUCCUUUGAGUUUUAGCCUUGCGGCCGUACUCCCCAGGCGGGGUGCUUAAUGCGUUAGCUUCGGCACAGGGCGGGUCAAUCGCCACCCCACACCUAGCACCCAACGUUUACGGCUAGGACUAC
rnacentral:misc_RNA from 1 species